GCCAGGUGUGGUGGUAUGUGCCUGUAAUCCCAGCUACUAGGGAGGCUGAGGCAGAAGAAUCACUUGAACCUAGGAGGCGAAGGUUGCAGUGAGCUGCCCAGAUUGUGUGCCACUGCACUCUAGCCUGGGUGACAGAGCAAGACUCCACCUCAAUUUUUGAGGUGGAGUCUUGCUCUGUCACCCAGGCUAGAGUGCAGUGGCACACAAUCUCGGCAGCUCACUGCAACCUUCGCCUCCUAGGUUCAAGUGAUUCUUCUGCUCU
rnacentral:SRP_RNA from 1 species